rnacentral:lncRNA from 1 species
UGUGUUGUGUGUAAAAAGUUGUUAUAUUUCAUUUUCAUCCGAAAUAUCAGGUGGUGUGUUUUAGAAUUUAGUAAUAAAAAAACCGUUUCAUUUUGAUUCAAUCUCAAAACUAGCGAUUGGUUUGACUGUGUAAUGGAGCUAUAAAUGGAAUUCAGGUUUGCAAUCUAUUUAUAUAUAUUAAUAUUAAUAUUAAUAUACUGAAGACAUUGGUAGGGAUCUCAAUAUGAUGUAGUAGUCUCUGUUAUGAUUCUGGUAAUAAUCAAUUAGGAAUGUGAAGGAGAUUUGAAAUGGAUCAUGUGGUUUGGAUCGCACGAGGAAGAACCAAAGGGGGUCAAGAGGGUUCGUAGAUCCCUCCCUGGCUUUAGGAAUUUGUUAUGUUUUUAUGUUUAAGUUAUGAUUAUUUUAUAUAAAAGAAAAACAUGAUUUGGGUUAUCUAGUUGUAGCCGGUAAUGAAAAGAGCGUUAUGAUGAUGGUGAGAAUUUUAUUAUUACGCUUUGUGUCUGAUUGACCUAAAAAAUGCUUGAUUGAUGUACAUGUAACAGGCAAAGAGGUGGUUAAUAGAAGAAAUUAUCUUCAAAUUAUCCUUUGGGGGCGGAUGUAAGUUUGUAAGCAGUGAAUGAAGGUACUGAUUUAUUUUUUUUCUGUGGUAAACAUAACAAUAAAGGAAAAUUAUUGUUUGCGUCAAGCCGUUUGAUUUUUGUAGUGGUGUCAACUUGUGACAUGGCACAUACACGAGCAUAGCCAGGUUUUUGCUUGUCAUAUCUAACAUGUUUGAUAAAUAGCUCGUGUUUGUAUUGACAUGUUUAACUAAUUUAAUUGAACAAGUUUUUAAUCCCGUUUAGUUAGGUGCGUUGACCUGCCAACUUGUGUAAUUAAACAUGCCGACUCACCAACCCGUUUAACACAGAUUUUACAACCCUCUAACCCGUUUAAAAUUUGAUUUUACCCUGCCAACUUGUAUGACUUGUUUAAAUACAUGGACUAAAGAUCAUGUUUGGGGUUACAUGUUUCAAGUGCGUAUGGUUAAGGUUGAUGUCUUUAGCACGAACCUGAAAAAACAUAUGGUUCAUCCUGAAACACACCAACCCAACAAGAUUCACGCCCUUAGAUUUUUUAGAAGGUUGUCGUUUAGAUUAACACGCAACGAAAUGGUAACUGAUAUUUCAUCCUCUUUGUGAAUAUGGCUAGCAUCGGCGGGCAAACAGCAGCAUCCAAGUGUUAUCUGAUACAUCCUAACACGAAUUCUGGUUUUACACCAAAUUAUGAGGUAAGUAUUCUAUGGGUGUUUCGCAUUUUUAUAUUUAAUCAAUACAUUUCUUCCUGAGGAUUGGUAGUCUUUGAAUCCAUAUCAGUCUAAUGCUUUAGUAAAAACAACCACCAAUGCAUCAUCAUCUUUGUUUUUACAAUCACCAAACUUAAAAAAGAUGGUAGCGCUACACGUUAGGUGUAAGCAAAUCGGUACGCGCUCGGUGACCUACAAAACUUAUAAACUAAACCAGACAAAACUUUCAAAAAAUCAAUUCUCUGUUCGAUUUCCAGUUGAGUGUACUUUGAAAAAAUCAGACAUCAUUUCGCGCGCUUCAGUUUUAAAGAGGAAUCAUGUUGGUUUUCUUCGUAUAUGGCAGAGGUCAUCAUGUUCAAAUUUUAGAGAUACGUACAAUUAUAACACCAGAAAACUACAUCCAAACGCGUCAAAACUUUAGCUACAUCCAAGUAUCCAACUCCUGAUAAUUCGCUAUGCAAUAUUCAAACGUGUCGAUAUUUUAGGUUUCCUCUUCAAGAGGUAUGAAAAUAUCUGUUUAAUUUGGAUGUAAAAUAUAACCUCUAUAAAAAAACCAUGUCAUUCAAGAAGAAACAUUCAGAAACCAAAACUAGUUACUACUUACGCCUUACGACCAACAAAUCCAUAACCAAAAACCAUAGACAAGAAACCAAGACUUUUUAACUAACUAAGAGUAACAAGCUCAUUUCAACUUUAAGGUGCAUUCUUUACAUUCCAAAUACCCGGGGGGUGUAUAAAUCGCCCGAAGUGGGCGUUUGGAACAUAUAGUCACCAUAAUCCGACAACAAACUGUCAAACCCAUAUUUUUGUACCUCACCUCUAGUACCACCCUGUUGUUGAACUUGAACCUCCUGCAACGGGUUAUGCUGCUGAAACCCACCACCUUCAAAUUUCGGCUGUUGCGUAAACAAAGACGGUGUAGAGUUGUAGCUCUGGUGAUGUAGAUCCGCUAGCCCGGAAGUAAGACCGCCAUACAAAUCAACCUGAGAAGGAAACUGGGGCGUUGUAUGUUGUUGCGGCUGCAACAUUGUCGGUUGAGAAAACUGAGGUACGGAUUGCUGUUGCAUAAAAAGCCACGGUUUUGUGUCCUCAUCAAACGAACUGCUCCAGGAGUUGUUCAAAAAGUUCGUUGAUAAUUUUCCGACAUCGCCGUUGAUGUUGUAUAGAUUCCCCAAAAAUGGUGAACCGUAAAGUGCGUUUGGUCCGGUCCUCAUAUAAUUUCCUAAAUAAAUAAAACAAAGCAGUGUUAGUUCGAGUUGUAAUUUGUAAAUGGAUAUCGCGAUAUACGCAUGUCCAUUUGAAGCCGCGCCUGAUUUUACUUGCCUAUCGGGACUAGGAUACGCUCAUAUCUAUAUACGAAUAUAUCCUAUAUGCAACUUGUAGCAUAAUUUGUUAAUAUGUAAUUCACAAAUUAUAGAUUGUCAAUAGCAAAUAGACACAUGGAAUAUCUUAUAUUAUAUAUACUAUAAAUAUGGCUAUUCUGUCAAUAUCAAACACCUUUAGCCCCUCAAUUUUAAUAAUAAAUAUCUUUAGACCCUCAAAUUUAAUAAUAACAUGUUUAACCCCUCAACUUUAAUAAUGACAUGUUUGGACCCUUACCUAAAACAUCUUAACCCCCUUAACUACAUCAAACAACUUUAGCCCCUUAACUAAAACAACUCCUCAACUUUAAUAAUAAACAACUUUAACCCCUAAACUUUAAUAAUGGCAUAUUUAGCCCCUUAACUGAAACAUCAAACAACUUUAACUCUUAGUGAUUUGAUUAAUUUUAUCUAUGUUUUGAACUCGCUGUGAAGCACGAAUGGUAACCCACUAGUUUUCACAAAUAGUCUAAUGCUUCCAUUCAACUGUGUAAACCCUAAUUUAGUGCAAGAGUUUGACUAUUUACCAUGCAGAAAAUACACAUCAAUAGUGUGUGUGUGUGUAUAUAUUUAUGAAAUGAACCCCACCCUAUAUAUAUAAAGAGAGUUGGAGUGCAAAGAUAUUUUGCUUACCUGAGCCAGCAGCAACAGCCUGUUCAGCUCUCAUGCAGGAGGAAAAACCAGGUGGCGGCUUUAUGGUCGCCGAAAAUCCUGGCGGUGUCGAGUUCUGUACCCUAGAUGCUAUUAUUUGAAACAAAAUACGUUAAUGUAUAUAUACACAAACACACAUGACACGUGUAUAUGUGUGUGUGAGAGAGAGAGAGACGUACCAAUGGUGCUAGUGCUUAGAUCAUUUUGCUGACCAGAAAACCGAUGUUCAUUUGCAAACGAGAAUAUGGACUGAUCAUUAUUUUGAAAGUUCCAAGAACGCGCAUCUUUCGGUUGCAGCAAUCCUGCAACCGUUUGAGGGUACGGUGAAUCAUCACCGUCUAAAUCUAUGGACAAAAUAUUGGAUAUUAUACUACUCUCCAAAGCAGCAGAAUCUUCGUCAUCAUCUACUAGAGGUGCAUCAUGAUCAAGCCGUCUCAAAUGCUCCACAAUCUCUUCAUUCGAAAACGAGUUCGCGCCUCUGUAUAUCUUAUCUGAUUUAGCUAAGCUUUGAAAUUUGUUUUCGUUGUACCCAUCGUUCAAUGUCGAAUCCGUAUAUUGCGACGGUUGUAUGUUACUGUUAUCUUCCUCAUCUACAUAACUGUUUAGAACGUAAUGAUCUGCACUAAUCUGGUUAUCAUUUUCAGUAUCAUACCAAGGAUCACUGUAGUUCUUAAAAGAGUCCUUUGACUUUUUAUCAUCAAAAGUCGGUGAAUCAACAAAUUGGUUAGGGUUUGAUGAUGUAUAUUGAACUGAAUCUGAGCGUUCAAUCUCUACAUGCUUACUAUCAGAGCACACCAUAUCUACAAAUGUUGUCGCUUCUUUUGACGGUUUGAUAGGUGCAUAACCAACAUCCUGGGCAAAAACAUCAUAAAUGAUCCUCAGCUGAAGCAUUGUGAUUAAAUUGCUCAACUACAGGUGGUGGCAACGUACUUCCGGAGCGUCUAUGCACAUAUUUGUGAUGUAGAAAAGAAGAGUGAAGGUAAGCGAUUGAAGGAGAAAUGGAAGCGAAGACCGAACUCAGGAGUACGGCAUAAAGAAAUGGAAGCCACAGGUUUGAGAGGUUUUCUUCUCUUGAGAGUGAGAGAAAGAGAUUAUUAUUUUUUAAUUGUUUGUUUUGGUUUUAUUUAUACUUGUACUUUUGUCUUUUUCUCAGGGUUUACUUUUUAUAUCUUUUGGUAAAACGAAUACCAGUACCGGCAUCUUGUUUGAACGGUAUUGAUCAGUUCAGAUCGUCACUGAUACUGGUAGUGAUAUUCAUUUAUU